AUGCAUGUUUCCGCAAUCAGGGACGAAUAGCUCAGUAAAACUGCGAUGAUUUAGUCUGGCUGUGUAGAUAACUACGUGAAAAUGUAGCUAAGGGAAGGCAGAAUAAGACGCAGGACUAUCAGUUAGUUGGUAGUGUAAUGGACUACCAAGACAGUGACGGUUGACGGGAAAUUAGGGUUUUGUACCGGAGAGGGAGCCUGAGAGAUUGCUCCCACGUCCAAGGACGGCAGCAGGCGCGAAAAUUGCCCACUCUUUGCAGGAGGCAGUUAUGAGACGUGAAGAUGAGUAUCUUGUAAAGAGGGAUAGGAGAAUUGGAGGGCAAGUUUGGUGCCAGCAGCCGCGGAAUACCGACUCCAAGAGUGUGUAUGAGAGAUGCUGCAGUUAAAAAGUCCGUAGUCAUAGAAGGGCAAAGAGAGAUGCGAGGUCUCACAGUGCGAUGAUGGAGGAGCCGAUGGGGAACAUAGUAUAACCAGGGCGAGAGAUGAAAUGCCAAGACCCCUGGUGGACUGAGCGAGGCG
rnacentral:rRNA from 1 species